GAGUUUGAUCAUGGCUCAGAGCGAACGCUGGCGGCAGGCCUAAAACAUGCAAGUCGAACGCCGUAGCAAUACGGAGUGGCAGACGGGUGAGUAACACGUGGGAACGUGCCUUUUGGUUCGGGACAACCCAGGGAAACUUGGGCUAAUACCGGAUAAGCCCUUCGGGGAAAGAUUUAUCGCCAGAAGAUCGGCCCGCGUCUGAUUAGCUAGUUGGUGGGGUAAUGGCCCACCAAGGCUACGAUCAGUAGCUGGUCUGAGAGGAUGAUCAGCCACACUGGGACUGAGACACGGCCCAGACUCCUACGGGAGGCAGCAGUUAGGAAUCUUGGACAAUGGGCGCAAGCCUGAUCCAGCCAUGCCGCGUGAGUGAUGAAGGCCUUAGGGUUGUAAAGCUCUUUCAGCGGGGAAGAUAAUGACGGUACCCGCAGAAGAAGCCCCGGCUAACUUCGUGCAGCCGCCGCAGU
rnacentral:rRNA from 1 species